UACGUAGGGGCCUAGCGUUGUCCGGAUUUAUUGGGCGUAAAGAGCUCGUAGGCGGUUCGGUAAGUCAGGUGUGAAAUCUCCACGCUCAACGUGGAGGCGCCGCCUGAAACUGCCGUGACUCGAGUCCGGUAGGGGAGUGUGGAAUUCCUGGUGUAGCGGUGAAAUGCGCAGAUAUCAGGAGGAACACCGGUGGCGAAGGCGGGUCUCUGGGCAACUACUGACGCUGAGGAGCGAAAGCGUGGGGAGCGAACAGG
rnacentral:rRNA from 1 species